AUACUUAUCUGGCAGGGGGAUCUUAGCCAUGAUCACUAAGGUGGCUCUCCCAGGACGAAGCUGGUUCAUUGCACUCCGAGCCUGCUGAUCUCUGCGAUUUCCUCACAUGUGGGAAACUCGACUGCACAAUUUAUGGUAGUGAGGGACUGCGUGUGCGAUUUCCCCUA